rnacentral:lncRNA from 1 species
AACUGUAAUAUAUAUAUAUAUAUAUAUAUAGAGUUGAGCUAGAAUACUAUCAGUAGUAAGCGAGCCGUUUUACUACCGAUUUGUUUUGAUGAUAGAACUUUCAAAUUGACGAUCGGCUUCGUUGAACAUGAUUUAUACCACUUGAAGUGUUUAGAAAUCAAAUUUCAAAUCUUUUCGAUAUCAUUUGCCUAAUGAUCAAAGGGUUUCAAAAUUUAUAAUUNAUUAAGCUCUCAUAUUCUUAAAAGUAUCAAGUCAUUAGUGCUUCUAGGUUUUCGGCUCUUGAAUUAAGAGACGUGUGGUUAUAAUAAUAGUGGUCCCCACGGAUUGAGUGGUUGGAUGGUUGAAUAAUAUGAUCUAACAGAUGAAAAUAGUCAAAUGGUUAGAUUUAACGAUAAAAAACUUACAAGCACACCCCAAGUGCUUGAUGCAUUUAAAAGCAUAGUAGCCAAACUCUCUCUCUCUAUAUACAUAUAGUAGGACCCAC